CUGGCAGGCUUGAGUCCUGUAGAGGGGGGUAGAAUUCCAGGUGUAGCGGUGAAAUGCGUAGAGAUCUGGAGGAAUACCGGCGGCGAAGGCGGCCCCCUGGACAAAGACUGUCGCUCAGGUGCGAAAGCGUGGGGAGCAAACAGGAUUAGAUACCCUGGUAGUCCACGCCGUAAACGAUGUCUACUUGGAGGUUGUGCCCUUGAGGCGUGGCUUCCGGAGCUAACGCGUUAAGUAGACCGCCUGGGGAGUACGGCCGCAAGGUUAAAACUCAAAUGAAUUGACGGGGGCCCGCACAAGCGGUGGAGCAUGUGGUUUAAUUCGAUGCAACGCGAAGAACCUUACCUGGUCUUGACAUCCAC
rnacentral:rRNA from 1 species